AUUGAGCGCUGGCGGCAGGCUUAACACAUGCAAGUCGAGCGGGGUGAUGGUGCUUGCACUAUCACUUAGCGGCGGACGGGUGAGUAAUGCUUAGGAAUCUGCCUAUUAGUGGGGGACAACAUUUCGAAAGGAAUGCUAAUACCGCAUACGUCCUACGGGAGAAAGCAGGGGAUCUUCGGACCUUGCGCUAAUAGAUGAGCCUAAGUCGGAUUAGCUAGUUGGUGGGGUAAAGGCCUACCAAGGCGACGAUCUGUAGCGGGUCUGAGAGGAUGAUCCGCCACACUGGGACUGAGACACGGCCCAGACUCCUACGGGAGGUAGCAGUGGGGAAUAUUGGACAAUGGGCGGAAGCCUGAUCCAGCCAUGCCGCGUGUGUGAAGAAGGCCUUAUGGUUGUAAAGCACUUUAAGCGAGGAGGAGGCUACUUUAGUUAAUACCUAGAGAUAGUGGACGUUACUCGCAGAAUAAGCACCGGCUAACUCUGUGCCAGCCGCCGCAGUAAUAC
rnacentral:rRNA from 1 species